rnacentral:lncRNA from 1 species
GCGGCUCCGUCUUCGGUAGGCGGGUGGGAGACGGGGCAGAAGGGGUGUGCUGGAAGGGCUGAGUAUCGGGUCGCUGGCUGGGCAAGUGUUAAGUGCCUGUACUAAUUUCUUUUUAGUCUUGAUGCUGGUAUGCUUUGAGGUCAGCAACUAACCAAAAACCAAGGGACCCGCAGUUUGUUGGUAGAAAUGAAGGAUGCAACAGGAUGCCUUUCACGUUCCUGGACGUGCUGACAAAUGCUGAAGUACUGAACUGAAAGAAAGUAGAGGACUAUCAUUUUUGUUAUGAUGUUUUAAGGCUGAUCAGAGCAUAUAUACAUAUUCUCUUGUGCUUGGAAGUGCUGAGGAUCAAACUACUUCAGCAGAAAGCUGUCACACCUUGCAGGGGUAAUAAGCGGCGUCUGCGGUUGGAUGAGUUGGUCAGCGCUUUGGAUACCUUGCCUGCAGGGACUGACCGAGUCUAGAAAGUGAGUAGCAAGGUCAGGGUUUACAACUUAAGGCCUUCUGUUUUCCAGCUGCGGUGUUGCAAGGCAACACU